rnacentral:rRNA from 1 species
UUAAGCAUAUCAAUAAGCGGAGGAAAAGAAACCAACAGGGAUUGCCCCAGUAACGGCGAGUGAAGCGGCAACAGCUCAAAUUUGAAAUCUGGCCCCAGGCCCGAGUUGUAAUUUGCAGAGGAUGCUUUUGGCGCGGUGCCUUCCGAGUUCCCUGGAACGGGACGCCAUAGAGGGUGAGAGCCCCGUACGGUUGGACACCAAGCCUUUGUAAAGCUCCUUCGACGAGUCGAGUAGUUUGGGAAUGCUGCUCUAAAUGGGAGGUACAUUUCUUCUAAAGCUAAAUAUUGGCCAGAGACCGAUAGCGCACAAGUAGAGUGAUCGAAAGAUGAAAAGCACUUUGAAAAGAGGGUUAAACAGCACGUGAAAUUGUUAAAAGGGAAGCGCUUGUGACCAGACUUGCGUCCGGUGAAUCACCCAGCUCUCGCGGCUGGGGCACUUCGCCGGCACAGGCCAGCAUCAGCUUGCCGUCGGGGACAAAAGCUUCAGGAACGUGGCUCCUCUCGGGGAGUGUUAUAGCCUGUUGCACAAUACCCUUCGGCGGGCUGAGGUACGCGCUCCGCAAGGAUGCUGGCGUAAUGGUCAUCAGCGACCCGUCUUGAAACACGGACCAAGGAGUCAACCUUAUGUGCGAGUGUUUGGGUGUUAAACCCCUACGCGUAAUGAAAGUGAACGCAGGUGAGAGCUUCGGCGCAUCAUCGACCGAUCCUGAUGUUCUCGGAUGGAUUUGAGUAAGAGCAUAUAGGGUUGGACCCGAAAGAAGGUGAACUAUGCGUGUGUAGGGUGAAGCCAGAGGAAACUCUGGUGGAGGCUCGCAGCGGUUCUGACGUGCAAAUCGAUCGUCAAACAUGCGCAUGGGGGCGAAAGACUAAUCGAACCUUCUAGUAGCUGGUUUCCGCCGAAGUUUCCCUCAGGAUAGCAGUGUUGAGCUCAGUUUUAUGAGGUAAAGCGAAUGAUUAGGGACUCGGGGGCUAUUUUUUGCCUUCAUCCAUUCUCAAACUUUAAAUAUGUAAGAAGCCCUUGUUACUUAGUUGAACGUGGGCAUUCGAAUGUAUCAACACUAGUGGGCCAUUUUUGGUAAGCAGAACUGGCGAUGCGGGAUGAACCGAACGCGAGGUUAAGGUGCCAGAGUAGUCGCUCAUCAGACACCACAAAAGGUGUUAGUACAUCUUGACAGCAGGACGGUGGCCAUGGAAGUCGGAAUCCGCUAAGGACUGUGUAACAACUCACCUGCCGAAUGUACUAGCCCUGAAAAUGGAUGGCGCUCAAGCGACUCACCCAUACCUCGCCCUCAGUGUAGAAACGAUGCGCUGAGGAGUAGGCGGACGUGGAGGUCAGUGACGAAGCCUAGGGCGUGAGCCC